rnacentral:rRNA from 1 species
GAUGAACGCUGGCGGCGUGCCUAAUACAUGCAAGUCGAGCGAACAGAUAAGGAGCUUGCUCCUUUGACGUUAGCGGCGGACGGGUGAGUAACACGUGGAUCACCUACCUAUAAGACUGGGAUCACUUCGGGAAACCGGAGCUAAUACCGGAUAACAUAUUGAACCGCAUGGUUCAAUAGUGAAAGGCGGCUUUGCUGUCACUUAUAGAUGGAUCCGCGCCGUAUUAGCUAGUUGGUAAGGUAACGGCUUACCAAGGCAACGAUACGUAGCCGACCUGAGAGGGGGAGCGGCCACGAUGGAGUGAAGAGCCGCACUAGACCCCAACGAGGGGCAGCAGUAGUGAGUCUGCCGGAAGGGGCGAAUGCCUGACGGAGCAACGCCGCGUGAGUGAUGAAGGUCGUGGGAUCGUAAAACUCUGUUAGCAGGGAAGAAGAAAUGUGUAAGUAACUGUGCAGAUCUUGACGGUACCGUAUCAGAAAGCCACGGCUAACUGCG